rnacentral:rRNA from 1 species
UGUGAGGGUUGCUGGAGGUAUCAGAAGUGCGAAUGCUGACAUAAGUAACGAUAAAGCGGGUGAAAAGCCCGCUCGCCGGAAGACCAAGGGUUCCUGUCCAACGUUAAUCGGGGCAGGGUGAGUCGACCCCUAAGGCGAGGCCGAAAGGCGUAGUCGAUGGGAAACGGGUUAAUAUUCCCGUACUUGGUGUUACUGCGAAGGGGGGACGGAGAAGGCUAUGUUGGCCGGGCGACGGUUGUCCCGGUUUAAGCGUGUAGGUGUGUGUUCCAGGUAAAUCCGGUUCACUUUAACACUGAGGCGUGACGACGAGGCACUACGGUGCUGAAGCAACAAAUGCCCUGCUUCCAGGAAAAGCCUCUAAGCAUCAGGUAACAUCAAAUCGUACCCCAAACCGACACAGGUGGUCAGGUAGAGAAUACCAAGGCGCUUGAGAGAACUCGGGUGAAGGAACUAGGCAAAAUGGUGCCGUAACUUCGGGAGAAGGCACGCUGACACGUAGGUGAAGUGAUUUACUCACGGAGCUGAAGUCAGUCGAAGAUACCAGCUGGCUGCAACUGUUUAUUAAAAACACAGCACUGUGCAAACACGAAAGUGGACGUAUACGGUGUGACGCCUGCCCGGUGCCGGAAGGUUAAUUGAUGGGGUCAGCGCAAGCGAAGCUCCUGAUCGAAGCCCCGGUAAACGGCGGCCGUAACUAUAACGGUCCUAAGGUAGCGAAAUUCCUUGUCGGGUAAGUUCCGACCUGCACGAAUGGCGUAAUGAUGGCCAGGCUGUCUCCACCCGAGACUCAGUGAAAUUGAACUCGCUGUGAAGAUGCAGUGUACCCGCGGCAAGACGGAAAGACCCCGUGAACCUUUACUAUAGCUUGACACUGAACAUUGAGCCUUGAUGUGUAGGAUAGGUGGGAGGCUUUGAAGCGUGGACGCCAGUCUGCGUGGAGCCGACCUUGAAAUACCACCCUUUAAUGUUUGAUGUUCUAACGUGGACCCGUGAUCCGGGUUGCGGACAGUGUCUGGUGGGUAGUUUGACUGGGGCGGUCUCCUCCUAAAGAGUAACGGAGGAGCACGAAGGUUGGCUAAUCCUGGUCGGACAUCAGGAGGUUAGUGCAAUGGCAUAAGCCAGCUUGACUGCGAGCGUGACGGCGCGAGCAGGUGCGAAAGCAGGUCAUAGUGAUCCGGUGGUUCUGAAUGGAAGGGCCAUCGCUCAACGGAUAAAAGGUACUCCGGGGAUAACAGGCUGAUACCGCCCAAGAGUUCAUAUCGACGGCGGUGUUUGGCACCUCGAUGUCGGCUCAUCACAUCCUGGGGCUGAAGUAGGUCCCAAGGGUAUGGCUGUUCGCCAUUUAAAGUGGUACGCGAGCUGGGUUUAGAACGUCGUGAGACAGUUCGGUCCCUAUCUGCCGUGGGCGCUGGAGAACUGAGGGGGGCUGCUCCUAGUACGAGAGGACCGGAGUGGACGCAUCACUGGUGUUCGGGUUGUCAUGCCAAUGGCACUGCCCGGUAGCUAAAUGCGGAAGAGAUAAGUGCUGAAAGCAUCUAAGCACGAAACUUGCCCCGAG